rnacentral:rRNA from 1 species
UAGUCAUAUGCUUGUCUCAAAGACUAAGCCAUGCAUGUCUAAGUAUAAACACUUUUAUACUGCGAAACUGCGAACGGCUCAUUAUAUCAGUUAUAAUCUACUUGAUCGUAUCCUCUUACUUGGAUAACCGUAGUAAUUCUAGAGCUAAUACAUGCAAAAGAUCCCGACUGGUGACGGAAGGGAUGUAUUUAUUAGAUCCAAAAUCAAUGCUGAUCAUUUUGAUCAGGAAAAUUGAUGAUUCAUAAUAACUAAACGAAGCGCAAGUCUUGUACUGGCG